rnacentral:sRNA from 1 species
UCUGGGCGUGGUGGCCCACACUUGUAAUCCCAGAGGCUCAGGAAGCUGAGACAGGAGGAUCACAAGUUCAAAGCCAGCCUCAGCAAAAUCAAGGCACUAAGCUACUCAGUGAGACCCUGUCUCUA